CUUUGAAUGAGCAAUUCCAUGACUCUCUUGAGUUUUCUAAAGGAUCAUCCUGACUGCUUUGGGAAUCACAGUUUCCCCCUUCCUCCAUAGUGAAGUCCUUUCUUCUGUCUUGUUUCCACCAGUUCUCUAGCAUCUAGGAUGGUGCCUCUCACAGAGUUAGCACUCAAUAAUUAUUUCCUGAAUGUGUUGGCCAGAAUUCUGUUUCAAGCUUUUUCUUAGGCUCAUGAUGAGUGUUGAAGGCAUUAUGACUCUCACCCAGAGGGACACCAUGUCUAGGAGCUUCUUCUCGUGUGGGCCCUGUUCUCCAGAUGUCUGAUGGAUAAGGAAAUUGAGACUCAAAGAGGACCCCCAUGGAGAAAGUAAUGAAGCUUGAAUUUAGACCCAAGAUCAUGUCCCUUUCACUUCCUCAGCCUGCCCAGGAAGUUUAUAGCGUGCUCAUGCCACAAACCCUGGAGCUGGAUACGCGCUCAAUUGGCUUGAAGACCUUGGGUCACACUCCACUCCAACCGUAGCUCCUGUUACCGACUCAGGAGCAAACAAACCAGCCCAGAAGUCACAGCAAAAACUUUUAGAAAACUUCUAAAGAGGUAGCUUCAAGGACAGGAAGAAGGGAUACAAGGCAGAGGAAGGCCUGCGGAGACGGCGCCUCAUUCUCUGCUCCCUGGCCCUGUGAAAACUCCUAAGAGCAUUUGGCCCUGUGGGGGAUUUCUGAAGCAACCCGGCGCAACCCCACCUUGGCAGAAACCCUCCCUUCUCUGUGCUCUUUUCCUGUGUUGUGACAGAUGCUGCUCUGAUAUCCUUGGUACCCAGCUCCCAAAGAAGAAAACAGAUCACCCAUCACUGGGUAAUUAUAGAGCAACUGAAAGGCCAUUUAGCUACUGUGUGAUAAGCAAUAGACUAUUUUAAUAAUAACCAAUUACCAUACAUUAUAGUAUAUCAUUUGGCAUUUGUUGAUCUACUGGGGUCUCACCUGUUCCUUCCUUUAUGGAGCAUUUUGUGGCUGUUCACACUUUCCCCAACAGAAGUUGUGCCACUUUCUAAUUGAAGCACUAUUUUUAGGAAAGAGUUAGGAAGUUUGUAGAGGUGGUGCAAAUUAUAUCAUGCCAAGUAGAAGGAUACAUUCUGCCAAGUGUCUUCUCUGACAGCUCUGCCAUUAUGCUGUGCUCAGGAGGAUAGAGAGUGAGAUUUGUUUCAUGAUCUGCAUUAGCCUUUCGACAUUAAGGGAAGUGUAAACCUGGAGGUCUCCUGCUGUCCAGGCAGACAUGUGGGCAAUCCAAACAGACACUGCUCUCUGCUGCUGACCAUUCCUUCCUGGCUGAGCUGCAUUCUCACUGCCUGGUGAGCAGGAAGUCUUGAGGCCUAGCAGCCCACUCCAAGGUCUGCCAUGGAUAGCAGAGCAGGCCCUGUCCAAGCCACAGAGGUUCUUCAAAGAGCCAGGGAAGAUGACCUUCUAAUCGCUAAGAUCUGCUCAGCGCAUUCCCCUAGCCUGGGCUCCCCUCUUUACAUUCACUUGCUCAGCCACUUCUCUAGGGCACAAGCCUGCCACCAAAUAGAUAGCCAGGCUGGUUCUGGGUGCAGUGGCCACCCUCACGUUUAUGUAUCCACUGUACUCUUUCCAUGAUCUCCCGCAUCCAGAGGCUUAGCUCUGAAUCCUUUCCUCCCAAGAAGAUGAUUAGAGUCCUCAUGAAAAUUGUCAACCCUUUUCACACACACAUAUUUAAGUUCAACCUCCAGUGAAACCCCCUGUUAUGAGCUGCCGGAUUUAUAAAGUGGUAGUGGUUUUUGUUUGGGACAGGCCUUUAGGAUAUCACAGUUUACUCUUCUGCCCUCACAAAGCAGAUAUGGUUUAAUCCAUUAGAUGCUAUCAUCACUGCCAAGUCCAUUCACUUUCCCCACAUCCGUGUCUACCACUCAGGCUGCCACCACCCCUCACCUGGAUUAUUGCAGUAUUCCUUGCUCCUGCCUUGCCCCGCAACCGUCAAUUCCCCAUACAGCAGCCAGACAGGUUUUGUUAAAAGUAUACUCAGAUCACGUCACUCUGCUGCUCAGACUGCCCUAAUGACUUUCUAUCUUAUUCAUAGUUAACAAUAAAUAGGUAUCUUUUUAAAAACCCACAAUAAAAAACAAAGGCAAAACUUACUAAUUACAAAGCCCUACGUAAUCUCUACCUUCCUCAAGCCACCCCCUUCCACAGUUACCUUGUUGUCCCUCUCCCUGAAUCAUCAAUGAGUUCACCUUGCUUACUCCAUCCAGUCCCACUGACCUAUUUGCAAUGUGAUUUGCAAUGUCUUUGGACACAAUGAGGCCAUUUUACUUGAAAAAAAAAAAUCUUUAAAUCAUUUGUGUUGCUUUUAAUAAAGAAAAUAA
rnacentral:lncRNA from 1 species